rnacentral:rRNA from 1 species
UACGAAGGGGGCUAGAGUUGCUCGGAAUCACUGGGCGUAAAGCGCACGUAGGCGGAUUGCUAAGUCAGGGGUGAAAUCCUGGAGCUCAACUCCAGAACUGCCUUUGAUACUGGCGACCUUGAGUCCGGGAGAGGUGAGUGGAACUGCGAGUGUAGAGGUGAAAUUCGUAGAUAUUCGCAAGAACACCAGUGGCGAAGGCGGCUCACUGGCCCGGUACUGACGCUGAGGUGCGAAAGCGUGGGGAGCAAACAGG